rnacentral:tRNA from 1 species
GGGUUUUUAGUUUAAUCAGGAAAAAACAUCAAUCUUCUAAAUUGAAUAUAAGGGUUCGAGUCCCUUAAAACCCACCA